CCUACGGGAGGCAGCAGUGGGGGAUAUUGGACAAUGGGGGGAACCCUGAUCCAGCGACGCCGCGUGAGUGAAGAAGUAUUUCGGUAUGUAAAGCUCUGUCAGCAGGGAAGAAAAAAAUGACGGUACCUGACCAAGAAGCCCCGGCUAACUACGUGCCAGCAGCCGCGGUAAUACGUAGGGGGCAAGCGUUAUCCGGAAUUACUGGGUGUAAAGGGAGCGUAGACGGUUAAGUAAGUCUGGAGUGAAAGGCCGGGGCCCAACCCCGGGACUGCUCUGGAAACUAUUGAACUUGAGUGCAGGGGAGGUAAGCGGAAUUCCUAGUGUAGCGGUGAAAUGCGUAGAUAUUAGGAGGAACACCAGUGGCGAAGGCGGCUUACUGGACUGUAACUGACGUUGAGGCUCGAAAGCGUGGGGAGCAAACAGGAUUAGAUACCCGUGUAGUC
rnacentral:rRNA from 1 species